UACGUAUGGAGCAAGCGUUAUCCGGAUUUACUGGGUGUAAAGGGAGCGUAGACGGUUCGGCAAGUCUGAUGUGAAAGGUGAGGGCUCAACCCUUAAACUGCAUUGGAAACUGUCGGACUGGAGUGUCGGAGGGGUAAGUGGAAUUCCUAGUGUAGCGGUGAAAUGCGUAGAUAUUAGGAGGAACACCAGCGGCGAAGGCGGCUUACUGGACGAUAACUGACGUUGGGGCACGAAAGCGUGGGGAGCAAAC
rnacentral:rRNA from 1 species